UACGGAGGGAGCAAGCGUUACUCGGAAUUAUUGGGCGUAAAGGGCGCGUAGGCGAUUUGAAAAGUCUUGUGUGAAAGCCCCGGGCUUAACCCGGGAAGUGCACAAGAAACUGUUGAAUUUGAGUUCCGGAGAGGAAGGCAGAAUUCCCGGUGUAGCGGUGAAAUGCGCAGAUAUCGGGAGGAAUACCAGUGGCGAAGGCGGCCUUCUGGACGGAUACUGACGCUGAGGCGCGAAAGCCAGGGGAGCAAACGGG
rnacentral:rRNA from 1 species